GCGCGUCCGCGUGACUGGCGCCGAGUGGAUCACCACGGGGAAGCGCGGACGGUUCCGCCGCGCGCCUGGGCAGCCCCU
rfam:Sphingomonas sp. Ant20 Sphingomonas_Ant20_11, whole genome shotgun sequence.